rnacentral:lncRNA from 1 species
AUUUGUGAGUGUAACAGGAUGGCUAUACAGUUCGUACUUAUACUGUACUUACAAAUCAAUGAACGCAUUCUGCAGUGAUUUGGAGCUGGAUCUUUUUGAUUUUAUUCAUCUACAAUUCAUACUUCAACAAUAUCGAGUGGAUUAUUUCUCAACAUGGAUGAUGCUGGCUAUUUUUUCAGAUGAAAGCGUGAUUAAAGAUGAUUGGCAUACAUGUUAUUUUUUGAUGUAUAUUUUCUGGUCACAUGAUUCAAAACAGUUACCUCCAUAGAUAUUUUAAGUAAACAAAUUUUUUUUUUAAUA